UGGAAAUUAUGAAAGGUAAUUGGAUGUUUGUUUUGGGGAGGAGGUGUGAUUGGAAACAUUCUAAUUUAACACUUAAUGUUAAUGUUGUAUAAUGUGUUUUUGAGAGAGAGAAUGUACAAAGGCUACAUGGGAGUACUGAUUUCGGAGUGCAUCCGAGGCAUGUUGAAAUUUUGGGGAAGGGUGUUUUGUUUUGCAACAUUGCCAAUGAUUAGUGCCCAAAAUAAGCUCACCAGCUGAAUAUAGACAGCCUAAAAAUCUCUAACAGGUUCAUUGACAUAAAUGAUCCCAUGAUUUGAUCCAA
ensembl:scaRNA SCARNA7 small Cajal body-specific RNA 7